AAUUGCCUAUGAUGAGUCUCAGAAUUAUUGCCUACAUUGUUUGACAAGUAUCCGUGUGAUAAAAAAAAGUGCAACAGCUGAGGCAUGC
rnacentral:snoRNA from 1 species